rnacentral:rRNA from 1 species
UACGAGGGGGGCAAGCGUUGUUCGGAUUUAUUGGGCGUAAAGGGUGCGUAGGCGGUUUGGCAAGUCUUGUGUGAAAUCUUUGGGCUCAACCCAAAGCCUGCACGAGAAACUGCCGGGCUUGAGUAUGGGAGAGGUGAGUGGAAUUUCCGGUGUAGCGGUGAAAUGCGUAGAUAUCAGGAGGAACACCGGUGGCGAAGGCGGAUCUCUGGGCCUUACCUGACGCUCAGGUGCGAAAGCUAGGGGAGCGAACAGG